rnacentral:tRNA from 1 species
GGAGAGGUGGCUCAGCAGUAAGAGCACUGGUUAGUCUUCCAGAGCAUCUGGGUUCAAUUCCCAGCACCUGUG